rnacentral:lncRNA from 1 species
CGAUCAGCUCCCAACUUCUUUCUUUAAAUCUGAGAUUUCUCUUGUGUUUCAGGCUCUGGAUGUUAUCUUGACAGAACUAAAUAAACUAGCAGAGGAAGACAUGGAAGAUCUACUGGAAUAUGAAAGAGAGGAGUUCAGCUUGAUGUUCUCUGACUUGGAAAAAAGAAUUAGCCCUGCCUUCGUCUAUGAAGUUCAUAUGACCGCCUGGCCCCAGCUUGAAAUCAGAAAUGAGCAUUCAGUGCACCCAGGAAAUGAGAAUAUUGGAAC